AUCCCUCCAACAUGUGUCCCCACGCCCCGCACCGCCAACACACUGCCGCAUGCAUAUAUGAACCAUGAGGCCCCCCAAAAAAGCUGCAAACAAGGCUGAGGCGACACGCAUAGCGCUGCUGCAAGUACGCUGUUAGGAGUGGGAAAGUUUGGAUUUUUAAAAACCUUCAGCACAACAGCUGAUCCCCAGCCGGCUGUGCUGUAAGCCAGAGCUCCCAGUGGCUGGUGGCCAGUGCUGACUGGGAAAGCUUCCAGCCUGAGAGGGACUGUGAUUAACCCAGGAGCGGUCAAACUCGGCAGGAAGCCCUCCGCAACCAGCCACCGCUUUUUAUCCACUUUCCAAUGAAACCAAUUACUUUUACAGCGAGCCUCGGUGCCGACACUAUAUGUGUUGUUCUUGCAGACCAAUAGAGUAUGGCUGUGAAAGGAGAGGCAGACGUGAAGUAGGAAACCCUCCUGAGCCGCUUCAACAGGCUGUAAAAUAUACCUAAAGUCAGUUUCCAUGGAGACUCACUGAUGUAGGAGAGCAGGCUAAAGGACACACAAAGCCUUUUAUAUAAAACUCAAGUAUAUUUUUUUAUUAUUAUCACUAUUUUUUAUUACUCAUCUUCUGAUAUCAAUGCAGUUUUGGAGUUGUAAACGUUGCCUAGUUGUAGCCAAGGAUGAAUAAACAUGCAUUUAAUUUACACAAUU